GCAAUACCUAGUGGUAUGAGAAUUCUAUUUCAAGUCCUAAAAUAUUUCAACUUACAGCUUGUUUGGAAAAAAAUUUCCAUUUUUGUAAAAAUAUAUGUUUCCUGAUUACCUCUUGCUAAUAAAUCUAUUCUAUCUCAGGGUGAACAGCGAGUUUUGAUGGGUUUCAUUCGUUCAGUCAAGGAAUAUUUGAUGAGCACUUGCUCCUUACCCAGCCCAGCCUGGGACCGGAGAUCCAGAGUGUCAAGGACACCAUACCUGCUUUUUAGGCACCAACAGUUUGGUGGGGAAGACUGUUUCAGUUGCCUAUUGCACCAAGAACAAGCCACUCCAAAACAUAAUGGCUUAAAACCAUUUUUGUUACCUUUCACAGUUCUAUGGGUUGACUGGGUCCAGCUGUCAGUUCUUAUUUGGAGUCUCUCAUGAAGUUUCAGUCACUCAGCAACUGGGACUGGAGUCAUCUGAAGGCUCAACUGGACCGGGUGGUGCUCUAGUUGGUGCACCAAGAUGGCGCUGUCACAUGGCUGGAUGUUGAUGUCUGCUGGGCUGCACUGGGGCUGUUCAUGGGAGCAUCCACACGUGGCCUCUCUGUGUGGCUUGGGCUCCUCACAGUCCGGAAGCUGGGUUCCAAGAGCGACUGUUCCAGCAGCCUCAGGCAGAAGCUACAAGGCUGCCCAGAUGCCAUCCUGCCCAGAUGUGUCCUCACUGUCACCCAGGAAGGGAAGCCCCGGAACACCACCCUCAGUCACAGGCAUGGGGCCCACUGCAAGGCACAACCCACUCCAGAGCUCCCAAGGCCGCCUCCCCUGGGACCUGCAGCCAGCUGGCUCCAUAACUGCUUUUCCGUUUCCUCCAGGCAUUUUCAUCCUAGCCCUACUUUGUGCUGGGAUCUGAGGGGGAUAGCAAGCGGAGAAAGAAGGGAUCUAGAGGGAGAAGAUUCUAGAUCCUUCUUUUGACUGCCAGCUGAUUUUGAUUGCCAGCUUUACCUGCUUCAUGAGCUCAGCCAAGUCACUUAACCUCUCAGAGCUUCACUGUUCUCAUCUGAAAAAUGGGGAUGAAAAUGGUAUCUCAUUACAGAGUAGAAUUAAAUGAAUUAUUAUAAUUAA
rnacentral:lncRNA from 1 species